GAUGAACGCUAGCGGCAGGCUUAAUACAUGCAAGUCGUACGGGGAUCCGAGGUAGCAAGUACUUUGGUGAGAGUGGCGCACGGGUGCGUAACACGUAUGCAACCUACCUAUAACCGGGACGACAAACCUCGAGAAAAUUGAGGCUAAUAUCCCAUAACACUGCGAGAAUGGGCAUCAUUUUGCAGUUAAAACUCCGGUGGUUAUAGAUGGGCAUGCGCGACAUUAGCUAAGUUGGUGAGGUAACGGCUCACCAAGGCUACGAUGUCUAGGGGUUCUGAGAGGAUUAUCCCCCACACUGGUACUGAGACACGGUCCAGACUCCUACGGGAGGCAGCAGUGGGGAAUUUUGGACAAUGGACGAAAGUCUGAUCCAGCAAUGCCGCGUGCAGGACGAAGGCCUUCGGGUUGUAAACUGCUUUUGUACAGAACGAAAAAAGUCUUUAAUAACACUAGAGGCUCAUGACGGUACUGUAAGAAUAAGCACCGGCUAACUACGUG
rnacentral:rRNA from 1 species